AAAAAGGCCCUUUUCAGGGUCAUACAAAUUUAAUAAAAAAAUAUG
rfam:Stegodyphus mimosarum contig99305, whole genome shotgun sequence.